UCAUAUGGCCGGCCAAACAAAGAACAAAGAAGAACAAAAGGAGAAAAGAAAAACAAAAACCCUAGGUGAAGAAUUUCAAGAGAAAAGUGUGGGAAAUUCAAGGAAACAAGUGACAAAAGGUAAAAUUUCUUGAUUUUGACUUGUGAUCUACCUUUCCCAUGCAUUUCUCCUUAUUUUCCAUGGUUAAAUUUCAUGUUGUCAUGGUGAAUUCAUAGCUGGUCAAAAUGGGUAUGGAGAGAGAAAGAUGUUGGAUUGAUUUGAUUUUAAGUUAUGUUAGUGUUUUUAGUUAGUUUAGCAUAUUUAGAAACAAAACAACAAGAAAAAAAAUUCAUUUUCCCCCAUCACCAUCAUUGGCCGAAUUUUCUAGGGAGGAUAUUGUGGCUGAAAUUGAUGAUAUUUCAUGAUAUUUGGGUGAUAAUUGAUGUUUGGUGAGGCUAGAAAUUAAAUGGGAAAUUUUGGUGUGAAAAUUUGAAUUUUUCUCAACGUAUAGACAUGUGUGAUUAUUGACCCAGGACUGAUAAAUUGAAUCUCAUUCACAGUCACUGGGGUAAUUUAGGUAUAAUUGGAGUGUAGAAAGUGAGAAGAAUUAAUUUGGAGUUAAAUUGAAGAUUUUAGCUAAUUACAUCGAGAAUAGUGCGAAUUAGGUCGAAUACCGUAUUUAAACGGCUAUUCGGACAUUUUGCAUCACAUUUCGUGCAUUCAUAUAGAUUUAUAAAGCCUAAAAUAGUUUAUGAUAAAUUGACACAAGUUAUUGAAAUUCAUGUCACGUAUGAUGUAUAGGUGGUGAGCCUUCUAACAAGAGUAAAGAGAUUGUGCCCGAAGAUUGGGUAUAAGAGUAUAUCGAACUCUUAGUACUAUGAGUAACCUUAUCAUCAUUUUAAUUAUCUAAAGUAUGAUUUUAAUCGGUUUUGGUGGAAUUUUAUGAAAAUGAGUUUAAAUGGUUAAUUUUUGGUUUUACAAAUAAAAUAUGUUUAAAUAAAAUGAUUUUAUAAAUUGUCUUGAAACAAAAUAACAAUUUUGAAAAAUACAGUAAUUAGAGACCACUAGUAUGCUGUAGAUUUAUGAUUGUUUACAUUGAUUGGCUUAUGAUAAAUUGAGAAUGAUUGGCUGGUUGACAAUUGUAUUGAAAUACGGAUUUGGUUGUUUGCCUUGAAAGGCUGUGAAUUACAAUAAUUGCCAUAUCAUGUUAUUGAGUUUUAUUGAUUGGUGGGAUAAUUAUUAGCUUACUGCAGUAGGCGAGUUUUCGUGGACUAGCCUAUUAGAGGGGCACGGUAAACCCCGUUAUAUUUUACCUCGGUUGGAGAGGCGAGUAGGGUAACUUCUGAGGUAUAACUUUUAGAGUUCACUUCACGCCAAACCACCACGUGAGGGGGAACUCGGCCAACGCCAAGGAACGACUAUAUUUUCAAAGUAAAAACAUGAUUUAUGUGUUCAUAACUUUUUAACAGCCUUGGCGGACUCGGUUAGGAUAGCCCUCGAUUAAGGUAUCCCUGAUAAUUGAGUAUGAUAAUUAUUUUGGCACGAGCCAAAGUUUUAAGAAGUUCAUAAGUCACACUGAUUACUUGAUUUAAAUAAAUUGAUUUCAUUUCAUUGAAAUAAGUCGAAAGAUGAUAAAUUACAGUUUGAUGAAAUGUUUUAAUAGUCUCAUUUUACUCGCCUUUAGAUAUUUUAAAUGAUAUUUGUUUACUCACUGGGAUUUUAUAAUCUCACCACCCUCUUUUUCACCCAUUUCAGGCUUGGAAUAGAUUGUAGAUAAUUGAUAUCGACGAGGACUACAGUUGGACUUGUCACAUCCAAAAACUGUAGGUUCAUUUUUUUUUAUACUUUUAGUCAUUCGUGGGCCCACAUGUCACAGUAAUUUAAAUUUUAUACUUUGGUUAUCUGUAUUACAGUAUGUAAGAAUUUAUUUUACUUUUACGCUGUAAAAAUUAUUUAUGCAGUGUUCUUAAAAUAUUGUUUUAUGAGAAAAUUGAAUAUUUUAUUCAAUAUUUUUAUUUUAUACUAAUAGUCAUAAUUUAUUUUAAACGAA
rnacentral:lncRNA from 1 species